rnacentral:lncRNA from 1 species
UAGAAUACUUCCACAGCUUCUCCUGUUCAUCGUAAAAGGCAACAAAUUGGAGAAGCUGUCCGCUCUCCUCUAGCCAAGCUCCUAACCUGUCCCUGUGUGAUAGUUAAUACUCCCAACUAUCAUACGACACCCACCCCUACCCAUCAUAGGUACACGUCCCGAUACCCAAACCUAUACCCGAGGA